UUCAACGCCGGAAAACUCACCGGGAGCGACCUUUGGAUGAGAGUCAACCUGACGAGUUUACUCGAUAGAAGGAGAGGUGGUGCAUGGCCGUCGUCAGCUCGUACCGUAGGGCGUUCACUUAAGUGUGAUAACGAGCGAGACCCCCAUCUUUAAUUGCCAGGUUGUCCUAGCGGGCAACGGCACUUUAGAGGGACCACCAGCGCUAAGCUGGAGGAAGGAGGGGUCGACGGCAGGUCAGUACGCCCCGAAUCUCCCGGGCAACACGCGCGCUACAAAGGACAGGACAAUGAGAUGCGACCUCGAAAGGGGGAGCCAACCUCGAAACCUGUUCAUAGUUAGGAUUGAGGGCUGUAACUCGCCCUCAUGAAUGUGGAUUCCGUAGUAAUCGCGGGUCAACAGCCCGCGGUGAAUAUGCCCCUGCUCCUUGCACACACCGCCCGUCAAACCAUCCGAGCUGGUGUUGGAUGAGGGUAUGCUCGAAAGGGCAAACUCGAAUCUGAUGUCAGUGAGGAGGGU
rnacentral:rRNA from 1 species